GCUUACGUAGCUUAAGUAAAGCACAGCACUGAAGAUGCUGAGAUGAGCCCUGAAAAGCUCCGAAAGCA
rnacentral:tRNA from 1 species